UUGCAUGAAGGCAAGACGAGGGCUUAACUGUCUCUUACUUCCAAUCAGUGAAAUUGACCUACCCGUGAAGAGGCGGGUAUAAAUAAAUAAGACGAGAAGACCCUGUGGAGCUUUAAUUAAUUAUCCUACCUACUAAGACUAACAACCUACUGGAUCAACAAACAUAAAGAGCUAGGAGAAUAAUUUCGGUUGGGGUGACCUCGGAGCAUAAAAAAACCUCCGAAUGACUUAACUCUAGGCUUACCAGCCUAAAGAUGCCUAAGCAGUCAACAAUUGAUCCAAUAAUAAAAUUGAUCAACGGACCAAGUUACCCCAGGGAUAACAGCGCAAUCCUAUUUAAGAGUCCCUAUCGACAAUAGGGUUUACGACCUCGAUGUUGGAUCAGGACAUCCAAAUGGUGCAACCGCUAUUAAUGGUUCGUUUGUUCAACGAUUAAAGUCCUACGUGAUCUGAGUUCAGACCGGA
rnacentral:rRNA from 1 species